rnacentral:lncRNA from 10 species
CGCCUGAGGGAAGAGGAAGGCGGCAGCGGCUUCGCGUCCCGCCUCUCGCCUGGCUGGCCGUGGGCGGCCUGGACGCAGUCCCCUUGUCCUCCCCGGCGGCCUCUCGAAUCUCCCAGGAAUCCUAAUGUCACCCGAGGAUGCUGGGAGGAACGCUGAGCCGACCUCUCCAUUGGGCUAAAGACUGCACAAACCAUGAUAAUGGCCAGCAAGGAUGGAGGGAGCGUAUGAGAUGUGCCGGGCAGUGUGCUACGUCUCAGCCAACUCUAGGAGAUGGAAUGAAGACUGUUUGUUAAAACACCCUGCCCCUCUGUUUACUUGGACCUGAUUUUGAAAGUACAAGUCACUUUAUUUGGGCUGGAGGAAAAAGCACUAAACCAGAUGUUGAGGUGACCGGGAUUCCUGGAAGAUGUUCUUCUCUCCGACGAGACGCGUGAUGCAUGAAGUAGGAGCCCCUGGCAAGGAGCCCAGGCUGCCAUGGCCUCGCUCGCUCAUGCUUCCCGGCAUGGCCCCGAGGCUAGCUGUCUCUGUACUGCCUGAGCAUCGUCCCCUGGUGUGUCACCAGACUACUCACUAUCUGUGCUUGCACCUGCGGGUAGGCAGUUCAGUCGCCGCAGGCCGAAGCUCCCUGUCACAGGAAUCCAUCAACACUGGAGUUCACCAAAUGGCCCAGUCCAGGAAGCAUGGUCAUGGCAAUACCUGGAGUCUCCACUGCAAGACCAGAGUGAUGGAGGCAGCAGAGCUCCUCAGCAGACCAGGAGUCUCCAGAGGCACUGCAGAAUGUCUAAGAAGCAACCUCAUUGUAUUCCCAAGACCCGGGAAUCCAGGUCUCACAGUGAAUACUAGGGUGAGCAGCUAUCCCCGUCUUCCCAGGAUUGAGGGGCUUCUCCAGAUGCUGCACUUCCAGUGCUAAAAAUGAGAAACUGAAAUGAAUUAGUCACCCAAGGAACGUUGACCCUGUGCUAUAUGAUCACAUUUACUCUUUAAAGCAAUGCUUUGAGGUAGGUAAUAUUAUUUCCAUUUUAAAUAAUUUAUAAAUAAGAGAUAAACUGUGUUUCCCGAGGCCAUUAUCCAGUAAGUGAUAGUGACUGGGUUUAGGUUAUAUUGUCUGGUUUAAAGCCAGCAUAUUUGUUAUCUGCAUAAUAAGUUACUCCAAAGCUUGGGCUUAAACCAACAACAAAAGUUUAUUAAUUCAUAGUUUCUGUGGAUCAGAAAUUGAGGAGCAGUUUAGCUGGGUGGUUCUGGCUCAGGAUCUCUCAUGAUAUUGUCAUCAUAGCAUUGGGGGCUGUCGUCAUCUGAAGGCUUGACUGGGGCUGGAGGACCUGACUUCAGGAUGGUGUACUCACAUGGCUGCAGGCAGGGUACUACACAAGAGACAGGCUACCAUAGUCACAGUGUAUCUGAUGCUUCCACAGCUACCCCUUAGGACUCUAUCUAAGUCCUAGAAUUGGGACCAGACAUGGGGAUUAAAGGGAUUCCGUAGGAUGAGAUUGACUAAAAACAUAUACACGUGAACAGGCAUACACAGGAAUAUUCAUUAUAUGUGUAAAUACCAUCACUUGUAUUCAGGCACAUCUUGUUUUAUUGCAGCUUUAUUGCACCUUACAGAUACUGCAUUUUUUUUUUUAACGAAUUGAA